rnacentral:rRNA from 1 species
UACGUAGGGGGCUAGCGUUGUCCGGAAUCAUUGGGCGUAAAGCGCGUGUAGGCGGUCCGGUAAGUCCGCUGUGAAAGUCGGGGGCUCAACCCUCGAAUGCCGGUGGAUACUGUCAGACUAGAGUACGGAAGAGGCGAGUGGAAUUCCUGGUGUAGCGGUGAAAUGCGCAGAUAUCAGGAGGAACACCCAUUGCGAAGGCAGCUCGCUGGGACGUUACUGACGCUGAGGCUCGAAAGCGUGGGGAGCGAACGGG